ensembl:lincRNA
UCUGCCCAACAACCGCUCAGCCUCCAAGGCGUCCCUCUGGGUGGCGUCCCUAGCAUCCAAGAGGUUCAGAAACGCCUGGGGACCUGGCGCCAGUGCCAAGGUUGAGGAACCUGGGGGUUCCUCCUUCCACGCCUUCAGCCUGAGAGAGGAUUAAGUUGUCCCGGACUGACAGAGCUCAGGAAGCGGUCCCUCCCACUUCAGCCUCUCCCGAGCUCGGACACCCAGGGGUCCCCCGCCUCCGUGGAGGUGAGCGCGCACUCACCGGAGGUGAGCUGCAUCCAAGCACAGAUCUUGUACACGGUGGCUGUGUUGCAGAAGAAGAAGAGGGUAAAGCAAACGAUGCAGGCGAUGAUGAGCAUCAUGGAGAGGCCGAUGAAGAAGGAGGCGGCUUUGAAGGCGCCCGAGGGCAGCGUGGAGAAGUCCGUGAAGCUACCCCUGCAGGUCAGCUCCCUGGAGAAGCCGUUGCCGAUGCAGUAGUGGAAGAGCCCGAAAUAGCCGGCUUGCGGGGUGUCCACGCCGUCGCCGAUCCAGUAGGGCUGGAUGAAGCACACCACAUUGACGAUGGCAAAGCAGAUGGUGAAGAUGGCCCACAGCACGCCGAUGGCCCGCGAGUUCCGCACAUAGUUGGUGUGGUACAGCUUGGCAGCCUCCUGAGCCGGGAGCAUCGCGGCGGCGGCAGCAGCGGCGGCUCCGGGCAUUCUCCCCCUCCUCCUCCUCCCAGCCCUCCGCCUCCCCCGCCUCUCGGCGCGCAGGAGACACACUCGCCGAGUGAGCGGCGCGCGUUGCAAUUCCCCUGCCUCCGCCUCAGCCCAGCAGCACCAGUUCUAGAGUCUGCAUCCUCGCUCCCGGAAGGAGGGCGGGGGAGCGGGGAGCACCCCUCCGGCUCGCCAGGCACAGCCUCCCGCCCCCCUCUUCCCUCCCUCCUGAACCCGGCUCCAGCCCUGCUUUGCACCCUCCACUCCUCUGCUCGUUGCUGCAGCUGCUGCAGCUGAAGCCUGCGAGCCCUCACGCCCCCUUACUCUUCAUCUCGCCUUUGACCCUCUUUCCUGUGGGCUCUGCUGGUGCCCCAGGGCACAGAGGAUCCCGGCUACCAGGAGGUGCUUCUUAAGUGUCAGGACCCAGAGAAGCAGACAUGGAGUUGGGGGAAUCUAAGAGCGCGCCCACAGGAAUCCUAGAGGCACUCCCUGGAUGCUGGAGGGUGUGCUGCUGGCCAUGAGGCUGAUCCUGAGCUUUUCAUCACCGCACAGGAACGUGCUUUGACCUCUUCAUCUCUGCAGAGAAAAAAGAGGCAGCCUUAUGGCAGGUGUAGGAUAUCUGAUAUGCAACCUGUGAAAGAGUCAUUUAGUCCCUAUAGGGUCACAACUCACUGGUUGGGAAUCACUGAUAUAGAUGGACUUCAAGAGUUUGAACAGUGAAACAUACGUGAGACUCUGAAAUCAUCCUCUGUCACCAGGAUAGCUGCUUGGGGGAGGAGGAAAUAACAAAACUAGCCUGAUUCAUGCUACAAAGCUGCUAUUGAUAGAAAGGCAGAUGUGAUCUCCACCACUCAUCAAGGACGUUUCUCCUUACAGCAGAGACUAAUAUAGAAAAUCACAAGCAACUAAGGAAUGGUGAGAGUGAACGGAAGAGUCUUCCCCAGGGAAGAGCAUGCCAGUCGGUUACAUGCUACAAAGUGGUCAGCCCUGAAAACAUGUAUACACAUGAAUAUGUGUAUACACACACGCGCGCGUACACACACACAAAGUGUAAUGAAAAAUGGGUCGUGAACUUGAAAGAAAGUGAGGCAAGGUAUAUGGGAGGAAUGUAGUUAUAUUACAAUCUCAAAUUUAAGAAUUUACAGUGUUUUUAAA